rnacentral:rRNA from 1 species
GAUGAACGCUGGCGGCGUGCUUAACACAUGCAAGUCGAACGAGGCCCCUCCUUCGGGAGGGUGUCCUAGUGGCGAACGGGUGAGUAACACGUGGGCAACCUGCCCCCGGCUCUGGGAUAACCCCAAGAAAUUGGGGCUAAUACCGGAUAUGACCGCUGACCGCAUGGUCGGUGGUGGGAAGAUUUAUCGGCUGGGGAUGGGCCCGCGGCCUAUCAGCUUGUUGGUGGGGUAGUGGCCCACCAAGGCGACGACGGGUAGCCGGCCUGAGAGGGUGACCGGCCACACUGGGACUGAGAAACGGCCCAGACUCCUACGGGAGGCAGCAGUGGGGAAUAUUGCGCAAUGGGCGGAAGCCUGACGCAGCGACGCCGCGUGAGGGAUGACGGCCUUCGGGUUGUAAACCUCCUUCAGCAGGGACGAAGCGCAAGUGACGGUACCUGCAGAAGAAGCACCGGCCAACUACGUGCCAGCAGCCGCCGUAAUAC